GAAUCCAGCUUUAAGUCCAUCUUUCAAGUAUUUCAGCUAUGGACAAAUACCAGUGGGAGAAGGUCCAGUCUGGGUUAAGAUAGGGUGGCAGUUCUCCUGCAUUAGAAGAAAAUAAGAAGGAAUGCCAAAAGAACAAGAAAAUAUACUAGCAUCAUGCUGACUUCAGUGACCAUCCAGUGCUUAACGUUCUUGCAAGACAUCUGCUUUGCUCUCUGCUGUAUGCAGCCACCUGGAACAAGACAACGGAAUAUUCACAUAGAGAGAAAUGGAGCUAUUCCGGAGCAUGAGUCAUCUUAUACUACGCAUCUAAGAUGUACAAGGUGAAACCUCCUGGAGAAAGCUUUUUUUCUUGAAUGUCAGUGAGGAAAGCACUGGCGCAGUCUGACUUAGUCUAACUUUUAAAUAUUUAAGUGAAGUGAGGUAUGACCUACUUCAUAUUUUCCAAGAUAAACAGGGAGACAUCAAAUUUACUCUCCAGCUGACUGGUUCAUGACGUUCAUUAAGUCAUUUCCCCAGAAGCAAAUAUUAGUAACACUUUCAAAAAGAAUGGAUUUUGGAAACAAUGGUUUGGAGAUGUCUCUGUACAAUCUUAAAAGCCUAAGUAAAUUAAAAGUAAAAAAAAAAAAAAUGAUCUCUGGCCAAAUGUUCAAGCACACCUGCUACUAGGUACUACUUAGACAGAGAGAGUGGGUACUUAGAUCCCUGUUUAUGCUUUUACUCAGGAUGAGCUCUAAUACUUUCGCAAAAUAAUAGUCACCACCAGGUUUUAAUUCUGAGUGAUACCAGCCUGUAAGAAAUUAUUGUUCAACUCCAAAAGAAAUGGAAGUGGAAACUUCUUUUUUUUUUUUCCAUUCAAGUUAAAUGCACCCUAAAUUAUAAAAAUCUAAAUUGAGAAAUGGAAAAAAACUAUGUAUGAGUAGUACACCUUCCCAUAGUCAUUUAAGAGAAGUAGGUAUUUAAAUACAGCUUUUUUUUUUAAUAAAUUAGAACUGGAAUUGUUUAGUUUAGGUUUUAUAUAUUUGUUACAUCAUAUUUUUAACUAAGUAUGAGUUUAAUCAUCAAAAUCACAUGACAAUAUGCCUUUCUUAUGAGGAAUUAUAAAGAUUAAUUUAGGCCUCUGGUUUUAUGUCAUAUGUUAUCUUUACAAAAUGCAGAGGUAAUUAGAAUUGGCAGGAUAAGAAAAUCUAUAAAGCAGUCUCUUUUGUUCUAAGCAAAAAAAAUUAGGCAGGUGUCACAGUAGACUGAAAAAAGAAAUUCUCAUACCUUAUAAAACUACUUGCAGGAAUAAUUCAGAUUCGUAUCUCUGAAGCCCUAGUAAAUCACAUACAAAAAUAAUUGUCUCCUUCACAUUGUAGGAAUACAGAUUUACUGAACUCUUUUAACAGUUGAUAAAAAUCUCAUGCUUUAGUCCAUCUGAUAAUUCUCCCUGUUGA